GAUGAAGAACGUAGCGAAAUGCGAUAAGUAAUGUGAAUUGCAGAAUUCAGUGAAUCAUCGAAUCUUUGAACGCACAUUGCGCCCGCCAGUAUUCUGGCGGGCAUGCCUGUUCGAGCGUCAUUACAACCCUCAGGCCCCCGGGCCUGGCGUUGGGGAUCGGCGGAGCCCCCCGUGGGCACACGCCGUCCCCCAAAUGCAGUGGCGGUCCCGCCGCAGCUUCCAUCGCGUAGUAGCUAACACCUCGCGACUGGAGAGCGGUGCGGCCACGCCGUAAAACACCCAACUCUUCUGAAGUUGACCUCGAAUCAGGUAGGAAUACCCGCUGAACUUAAGCAUAUCAAUAAGCGGAGGA
rnacentral:misc_RNA from 1 species